rnacentral:lncRNA from 1 species
CCUCCCCCGCCCCGUUUAUCUGCGUGGUUCAGUGCCCUACGUCUUACUGCUCUCGCUCUCUCCCUGAAACUCCCAGUGUUUUCUGAAGGCUAGAGCUGUGCGGGGUCUAGCGCCCUACUUGUUGGCCGUUUGCGAGACGUAGACUUAACUCUGACUAAUACACCCAAUUCCCGCCACUAUGCUUCGUGACUGGGGAGGAAAAACGACCCCCCAACUAGUCCCGCUACUGCCUGGGACGGACGUUAAGUUCUUGGCUGUGAAGACAGGAUUUGCACUCGCGUCUCCGCCAGCUGGGAAACGUGUUAAUAGCAGGGAAUGUCCCCUCCUGUCCUGCCAACAGGUGGAAUGGAGUUGGUGUAUUUCGGCAGUCGGUUCCCGGGUCCUGAAAUAAUGGUUUGUGGUCUGACUACUAAACCCAUGUAGCUGAUAUCUGGAAAGAAUUCUGAGCAGCUUGGUAAACUAUAAAGCCUUAAAUUUAGAAUUCAAAAAAGGAGAGACGGUAUGGAAGGCUUGCCUUGAAAUUAAGAAGAUGGGUUCAUAUCCUGCCUUUUAUGACCAUGGACAAAUAACUAGUCUUAAGACAACUCUAAAAUUAAGUUACAGCAGUUUCAGCAUCUGACAUCUCAGAAACCACAGGUCAUAACCACCAUUCCACCUACCAAAAAUAACUUAGAAUAUUUCAGUUACAUGAGGUGAUUCAGGCCAGUUCCAAUGGUCUUGUGAUAAAGAGAGCCAUCUGCACCCAGAGAGAGGACUGUGGGGACUGAGUAUGGAUUACAAUAUAGGAUUUUCACUUUUUUUGUUGUUGUUUGUUUGCAUUUUGUUUUCUUUCUCAUUUUUUUUUCCUUUUUAAUUUGAUUUUUCUUGUGCAGCAUGAUAAUUGUGGAAAUAUGUAUAGAAGAAUUGCACAUGUAUUGGAUUAUUUGCCAUCUGAGGAAGGGAGCGGGGAGAGAAGGGAAGGAAAAAAAUUUGCAACACAAAGUUUUGCAGGGAGUGAUUGUUGAAAAUUAU